AGCCUAAAUUCAUCCAUCUUUUCGUCUUCCACCAACCUGUAACUCUUCCUACGUUAAGAUUUUUUUCCUCUUCCAAAUCAAUCGACACACAAAUCUCGAAUUCAAUCGAUAGUCAUCGGCGGUUUCGAACACCGACCAAUCAUAAAUCUCCACAACCUUUAACACUCCACCUUCUCCUACUUAAACAGAUGCUAUAUGGGUGUUUCAAAAAAAAAAAAAAAAGUGUUUCAAAAAAAAAAAAACAGAUGCUAUAUGGAAUCUGAAACAACCCUAUCAUAUUAAGAAUUCCCCUCACUGUCCUAUUUAUAUCGUCUCCCAUCCAAAGAGAACCAGAAUAGAUUGAUCUACCAAUAAUCCAAAAUCACUCGAAGAUCAGGUGUUUAUCCUCAUCUUCAUACUUCCUUAUGUAUUGUCGUGGUCAUCUAAAAUUUAAUUUAUUCAGAUACAGUGAGAUUUGUGUAUGGGCUGCCAUGAAGAGAGAAUUAUUCACCGAAGCUUUUGCAAUGCUUUACGGUUGGGAUGAGAGCUAUACAGCGGCAACUUCAACAAUCUCCGUAUUGAAUGAGAUAUAAAAAAUCUCACGGAACAGCACUACUACAACUCAUUUGCUUAAAGCAGCACUCAAUGCAGUCCAUUAUGGGCAUGGCGGACUUCAGCUAAUUGUUGUCAGUUCGGUUAUGAACAUUCUAAUCACAUCAGAAUCAGGCGGUAAGACUGAGCAAUUCAUGAACAUGCUCCCGAUCAAUCCCUCCGCUAGCGUCAGAUGCGAUGAAGUCCUGGGCUUUAGCCAUCUCUGGUGUCCUUUUAGCCACAGCGGAGAUCGCAUUCUUCCAAGGAUGUCUCGCUUGGCUAUCGUUAGGCUAUACAAUAUACAUCCCCUUUAUCGGUGGACGGACUAUGUUUCCUUCUACUCUCGAGGGAGGAAUAAUGGGACUGUUGAUAACAACGGUGGUGAUUGCGUUGAAGGAUCUGUAUGCAGAGUUUGUUUUGAAUGAUCCCAAGAAGACCAAUUAGCUGUUGUGGGUUUCUUUAGUCGGAGCUUUCAAGUGCUGUCAUGGCUGCUGCUUUGUAUUGUGAGAAGGAUCAUGUAGAUCAGUCGAGAAAAAUAAAUAUUAUAAAUUGUUUAUGGUUUUAAUUUAGUCUUUUUCUUUGGAAUGUUAUGUAGUGUACAGCGAGAGAUGUGUAGUAUGAAAUUUCAAUUGUUAUGUUAUAUUGUAUGUGAUCUGAAUC